GCCCGGGUGGCGGAAUUGGUAGACGCAACAGCCUUAGGAGUUGUUUCUCGAAAGGGAGUGCAGGUUCGAGUCCUGUCCUGGGCACCA
rnacentral:tRNA from 1 species